GACCAAUCUUAGAAGUCGUAUCCUUGUCUUAUUUACAGUGAGUUCUGUGGAGAAAACCUCAGCAAACAGAAACUGACUCGUGCAGUGAAGAGACUGAAUGCAAACAUCCUCUACCUUUGUUCCUCUCAGCAUGUGAAUUUGGAUCAGUUACAACCACUGCAUACCCUCAGGAACUUAAUGCAUCUGGUCAGCCCACACUCCGAGCACCUAGGCAGGUCAGGACCCUUUGAAGUGCGAGCAGACCUUGAGGAGUCCAUGGAAUUUGUGGACCCUGGAGUUGCUGGAGAAUCAGAUGUGAGUGGAGAUGAGCGUGUAAGCGAUGAGGAGACUGACCUGGGCACAGACUGGGAGAACCUGCCGAGCCCCCGAUUCUGUGACAUCCCUUCCCAGCCAGUGGAAGUUUCCCAGAGCCAGAGCACCCAGGCAUCUCCACCCAUAGCCAGCAGCAGUGCUGGUGGGAUGAUCUCGUCCGCCGCGGCCUCGGUGACCUCCUGGUUCAAAGCAUAUACUGGACACCGCUAGUGAGUGUAGACCAGGACGUGUGAAAUCUUUCCCACUGCACUCGAACAACCUUGUCUAUGUAGUUAUCAGAGGGGCUAACCUAGCAUUAGGACAAGCACGUGUGCCUGCCUGUCAGGGGGCCUGUGAUGGUGAUUGACGUGCUCAGGACCUCUGCCAGCCCUGAGCCUGUGGCCUCCUGGCCCCUGGUCUGAGCCCCCUCGACCCCACAGUGUGCUGGUUCCUGGGAUGCCGAGUCUUCCCGACACUAAGUUCUAGACUUUGUGAGAUCACAAGGAAGUGUUUCUUGGUGGUAAGGAAUGGAAGACAAAAGCUGAGUUUGUUUUGUCUGUCAUCUUUUUGAGAGACUUGCCAGCCACAGCUUUGGUCUUACGGGGGAGACAGUCGUCUCGGGAGGGGAGGUGGUGAAAGCUUUUUGCUAUCGUCGUCGUCGUCAUCAUGCAUCACAUUCCUGAUUUUCUACCACACACCAAAGAAACCGCGGUCUUUAGUCCACAGACCCACAUGACGGACGGGGGAGUCCUAGCUGUGAUGCUUGGAGAUGUCCAGACAGUUUCCUUGUAUUCGGAGGGGAAAUGAGUUCAUUCUUGUGUAAGUCAUUGGAGUUCUCUGUACUAGACUCACUUUAAAGUGGUACUUUUCCCUUUAUCAUUCCCUGUGUGAGCUAAAUGCUGCCUGGGCACAGUUUGAACACUUGAUGAAGUGCUCAUUCUCUUGCUGUCCAGUUUCUUGGUGGGGAGGUGUUCCGGGGAAACGCCUCCUGCUUGUUCCUGGUGUCUCCUUGGCUCUGGAGGCAGCACCUUGUGCAGUGUGGAGCACCGUGCAGCAGUCCCAGGAAGUGCUCAAGGAAUUUCCUCCAAGAGACCAUUUUCAUGACAAUCUUACAGAAAACUCUAACGAGAGGCAUUAUGUUCAAAUUUGUAAGUAGUUCUUUCUUAUUUUUAAUAACUUCGAAAAAGAAAGAAGGCCUAUGUAACAGACCACAGAAGUCCUGUGAAAAGCGCCCUCCGAGGUGGGGGCGGCAGUGCCGUACAGUGCCUGGGGCGAUGGUGUGUACCUCAGGCAAGUCCUUCAGCGGUUCGCUGCCCCCUAGCUUCUGCUCACCGGUAUGGUUGAUACUUUGCAGACUUAGGUGCUACAGAGCUCUUGCUGUUGGUAGACUUGUAAAAAGGAUUGGAUCCCUACCAGGAGCCCCAUGGUCUCCAGCUCUAGAUCUCCACCUGGGGAGGAGACGGCUUCCCUCUUGCAGGCCUUCAUUUGACUGAAGUCUGUCUUGCUCAGCUUCAUAAUUGUUGGGCUUGCAUUUUGCCAUCGACUUCUAGAAUUUGCAGACUGAGUCUGGUAGAAUGAACAGAUACCAGGUGAAAAAGAAACCAUGAGCUUGAGAGGAAGCUUCAGAAAGUGCAGACAUCACGGACUCCUGUCUACAGCGGUUAACAAAGCAGGCAGGAAGUGUAGGGUUGAUGGUAUUUUGUUUUUAGUAUCAGAUAGAGGCACUUCGGUCACUUUACGUCACAGGAAAUGAUUGCCCCAGGCUGCUGAAAUCCUUUGAGUUUCAUUAUUUUGCACUGGAUCCACCUGUUGUAAAUAUUCUUAAAUACACAUUUCAACCACUGUUUCCCCGUACUCUUUGCUGCUUAUUAAAACCUUCCCUGUAGGUGCAAGAACCAUAUGUAAACAGCUUUCUGAAGAAAUGGAGCUGGUAUUUUUUUAAACCAAAAGCCAUAGAAGUUGGUCAUGUUUUCCAUUUUAAAAUGAUUUAUUGACAAAAGGUAAUACUAAUAGAAACUCAGAGUACCGCGUAGGCUGCUUAAAUGGUCUUAUAAAGGACAUUUUUAUGUAAUUGAAGAGAACCAAGGAAAGCUUGCUACCUGUGUGACUUACUGGAGAGGCAGUAAGUCACCGUGGUCCGGACAGCGCUGGGCGAGGAGGCGGGGUGCUCUGGAAAGAAUUGAGCAUCCGAACCCUCGCUGCAGCUGAGACUUCCACAUCAGGGAAGUCACACAGAUUCCUCUCAACUUUUAUUGUAUUCCUGCAAUAAAUCCUUUAACAGUA